AAGGUGUGAUUGGAUUGUGACCAGCGAGCAACAGAUAAGUUUGUUUAAAUGACACUAAUUGUUUGAUUUAUUGAUAUUAAUUUCUUUGUAAAGCCUAUCAUAGACAUGUAAUUAAUGUGUAAUAGGCAUGUAAUAAUUGUUUUACAAUAUUAGUAGUAAAGGUCACCAUUUUAAGGUACAAUCCUCACUAUUCAAACUGUUUACCAUGACUUUUAGCUCAAGAAACUACUAUAGUUUUCUUUAAUAGUUAGUAUUAGGGAUGUAGGAUAAAACCAUACUUUACAAUUACUAAUAAACAACCAACAUCUGUGGUGUCUGAUGAUGCUUUCCAGAAAAAAAAGAUACAUAAUAGUUUUGAUGAUAUACAUUAUCAUAUAUUGAUGUCACAUAUAAAUAUGUACAUUUAUUUUAAACUAAAUUGAUAUAUCUGUGAUUUAAAAUAGCUCUAAUGGAUCCUUUUCACAAGACUGAGGCAUUUAAGUCAUCAGUAUCUUAAAUCCUUGAAAGUUUUUAUUAUAUUUUGUAAUAAAAAAAGAAACCAUGAACAUUUAUAUGUGUUUACGUAUGUAUUAUAUCAUCUUUGUAUCAAAAUACAAAAAACAAUUAACUACUUGUGCGAGGCAUUUAAAAUGCAGCGUUUAUGGGCGGGAAAGUGUUCUCUCUUUUGGCUGCAAUUAUCAGUCUCACACUUUUAUUUUUUGUUAUUAUUAUUUAUUUUUAUUUAUUUUUUUGCUUUUUCUGAAAGUCUUACUUACACCGUAGUGGAGUUUUACUUUUAUUUCAGCAAAUAGGAUUUAAAAAAAAAGAUUUGUUGUAAACAUCACGUUUACUGUGUUUCAAGUUUACCUGAUUAUGAUGACUUCUGAGAAACCCAUGAAAAAGGUCCAUGAUGAUAAAUAUUUUUAUAAUAUUUAAGAAUAUUUUUAAUAAUAAGUUUUUAUUUACUAGUCACGCUUUUGUUAAACUUAUAUGUUUUUAAUGGAGGACUUUUACUAGAUGACGCACUGCUACGCUGGUCGAGAGAGCUCAACGCACAGCAGUUUAGCACGUUAAGCUCUUUUAGCCACCGUACUCUGCUGUUGGUUUUGUUAAAUGACAAGAAGCAUGGUAUGUAUUUAAAUUUGCUCAUAAAACAAUGAACAUUUCCCUUUUCAUGAUUUUGUUAUUAGUAUGAAAGCAUGUAUAAUAUUAAACAAUUACAGAAGAUCAUGUUGUAUGUAACAAUGACAGCGGUACUUUGUUCCGGUUUAGCAAAAUUUAUUCUGAGUUCUUAAAAGAUAUUAUUAGCUCUGUGGCUCUUGUAAUCAGUUGUGUUGUAUGUUGUUACGUGUUUAGAAACUGUAAAUUGGAAACAUUUUAGAUUUACAGUCUUUGUUUAGCUGCAAAUUUUGCUGAUUGCCUUCAUAAAUUUUUUUGGACUUUUGAUUAUCCAUCGAGCUCAGCAUGACGCAAAGGCCUAGUGAAGCCUUGUCAAUAUUAUGCUUAAUUUGGAAUAUGACUUUGCAGUACAUGCUGUAUCGAUAUGUUAUGUGCACUACUGUCAGUACAACUUGUGGUGUGAUGGUUAGUUAUGGUUUGGAAGUCAAAAGUUAGAAAAUCUCAAGGCCUGAUUCCUAAUAGGGAUCACUGUUGCAAACCUUAACAUUACUUAUUUUACUAGCUCAGUUUGGGUUUUCACGGUAAACUAAAGCAUUCGUUUUAAAUGUAUAUAGAAAUAAAGCACGUGCAGUAGUUUAUUUUUACUGAAACAGUCUGAAUUAUCUGGACAGGAUAAAAUAUUCAGUUUGAAUUCGGAAAUAAGGGCUGCACGGUGGCACAGUGGGUAGCACGUUCGCCUCACAGCAAGAAGGUCACUGGUUUGAGUCUCGGCUGGGUCAGUUGGCAUUUCUGUAUAGUUUCUGGCAUUUCUGUUCCGUGGAGUUUGCAAGUUCUCCCUUUGUGUGGGUUUCCUCCGGGUGCUCUGGUGUCCCCCACAGUCCAAACAUAUGCGCUAUAGGUGAAUUGGGUAAGCAAAAAUUUUCCAUAGUGUUUAUGUGAAUGGGUGUACUGGGUUGCAGCUGUAAGGGCACCCGCUGCAUAAAACAUAUGCUGGAUAAGUUGGCGGUUCAUUCCACUGUGGCGACCUCAGAUUAAUAAAGGGACUAAGCUGAAAAGAAAAUGAAUGAAUGAAUUCAUAAAUAACUUUGUUUAAAACAUAUUAGAAAUCACACUUUUCUUUUGCGUCCUGCUGAUUACAUUUGUUUUUGUAUUUGUUUUCAGGGAUCAAACAUAUGUUGCCCUCGCAGACCAGUGGAUCAGAUUAAGACCUCUGUCCAGUGUUGUGAAAAACCUGAAGGAGUGGGUGGAGUCAUAGUAUAUGAUGGUGAGACAUUCACCAUAAAGAAACAUCAUCUGGGGGCUGUUCCAUGGUGCAGUGAUGCGAACCAGGGCUGGACUGGGGCAAAAAAUCUGCCCUUGCAUUUUGGGCCAGAGCGGCCCAUCUGUGCACGCCCUUGAAUAUAAGUUUAUAAAGGCACAAAAGCAAUAUAA